UCAUGGCCAAUAAAGCCUUCUCUUAAGGAGGUCUUACAUGGAAAGGGACAUUGGCUUUCUUUUACAAGUCAUACAGAGAUGAUGCUUAGUGAUCUGUUAACACAUGAAAAAAACAAAUGAACACUGCAGUCGAUGUGUGGGUUUCAGUUUGUGAAUCAUACUGGCACUUCCAGAUACAUGGAAAACAAACUUGCAAGGUAUGAAAGCACAGAAAACAAUUAAGAUGCAGCUUGCAGAAAAUACCAACAUGAACUCCCUAUUUCCCUACUGCCGGAUGCUUCCGCUCCAAAUCCUGAGCACUGUUUUGCUUCUGCCUGCUUUUGGACCCCCUAGAAAAAGCAAUAUGAGCAACCUGCAACCUGUGGAUUGAAUGUGGUCAGAGUGGGUCUUCUAGGCAGCUCUCCAUGGCUCCAAAAUUUCUGCCACUGCCCCAUGGCUAAUUCUGCCUAUACAACUGCUGCUGUCAUGUUUGUGGUGGAAAAGAUAGUGUGAAAGGAAAGCCAUCCAAGUGUCUCAGUUUGGCAAUACACUGAUGAUCAACCCUUCAAACAGCUUCAAAUAGGGAAGAAGAGAGAAGAAGAAAGUUAACUCUACAUGUAGUCUUCCCGAUUUAAUAGCAUGUCCUGCUCCCGAUUGGGCCAUUUGUGAUGGGGGAGGGAGAAUAUUCACAAUGAUUGGCAUGAGGGAGGGAAAAUUUCUGUGCCUGAGAUAGGCAGAGAAGAAUGUCUGAUUUAUGUCCAGAGGGGAACAAAGGUAAAAGAUGAUCAUGAUGAUGUGCGAUUUUAAAAUAUUUUUAUAUACUAUGUGGGAACGGUGAGGGUCCCCUGACUGCCAGAGUGGGCUCUUCACACCUUGGAGAGUAAGGGCUGGAUUCCCUACCUGCAGCUCACCUGUGGACUGGGGAGUUGAUGAGUGGGAGGCUAACUAAAUAACUAACUAACUAA